CCUACGGGGGGCAGCAGUAGGGAAUCUUUCACAAUGGGCGAAAGCCUGAUGGAGCAACGCCGCGUGCAGGAUGAAGGCCUUCGGGUUGUAAACUGCUUUUAUAAGCGAGAAAUAUGAUGGUAACUUAUGAAUAAGGAUCGGCUAACUACGUGCCAGCAGCCGCGGUCAUACGUAGGAUCCGAGCCUUAUCCGGAGUGACUGGGUGUAAAGAGUGGCGUAGGUGGCAUAAUAAGUAGCUAGUUAAAUCUGGUGGCUCAACCAUUCAGACUAUUAGCUAAACUGUUAAGCUCGAGACCGUUAGGGGUAACUGGAAUUUCUAGUGUAGGAGUGAAAUCCGUAGAGAUGAGGAGGAACACCAAUAGCGUAGGCAGGUUGCUGGGACGGUUCUGACACUAAGGCACGAAAGCGUAGGGAGCAAACGGGAUUAGAUACCCGGGUAGUC
rnacentral:rRNA from 1 species